CCUACGGGUGGCAGCAGUGAGGAAUAUUGGACAAUGGGCGAAACCCUGAUCCAGCGAAGCAGCGUGAGUGAAGAAGUAUCUCCGUACGUUAAGCUUUAUCAGCAGGGGAGAAAAUGACGGUACCUGACCCAGAAGCCACGGAUAACUACGUGCAAGCAGCCGCGGUAAUAUGUAGGGGGCAAGCGUUAUCCGGAUUUACGGGGGGUUAAGGGAGCGUAGACGGGAGCACAAGUCUGGAGUGAAAUCCCGGGGAUUAACCCCGGAAUUGCCUUGGAAACUGGGCGGCUGGAGUGCAGGAGGGGUAAGCGGAAUUCCUAGUGUAGCGGUGAAAUGCGUAGAUAUUAGGAGGAACACCGGUGGCGAAGGCAGCUUACUGGACUGUAACUGACGUUGAUGCUCGAAAGCGUGGGGAUCAAACAGGAUUAGAUACCCUGGUAGUC
rnacentral:rRNA from 1 species